GAGAGAAUCAGGAAGACGGAAAAGCGGAAACCACUGAUAAAACCAUCAGAUCUCGCGAGAUUUAUUUACUACCACGAGAACAGUAUAGGGGAACCCGCUCCCAUGAUUCAGUUAUCUCCCACCAGGUUUCUCCCUCAACAUGUGAGAAUUAAGGAAGUACAAUUCAAGAUGCGAUCUACGUGGGGACACACAGCCAAACCAUAUCAGGGAGAACUCCAAGAUGAAAUGCAGAUUGCUCAAAAAGUAGGCAAGAUGAUCUCCUGGGGCACAGAAAGAACUUUUAGAACUUCUAUUUACAUUCACAUUUCAUCUCAUGCUUUUUAAAUUUAUAUUUUUGAGCAUGUUUUAUAAUGUACAUAAUUUAUUAGUUUGAUAAAAACAUCUAAUGUUUUAUAAAUAAAAAUAAACAUUUCAGU
rnacentral:lncRNA from 1 species